AUUGAACGCUGGCGGAAUGCUUUACACAUGCAAGUCGAACGGUAGAGGGGGCAACCCCCUUGAGAGUGGCGAACGGGUGAGUAAUAUAUCGGAACGUGCCCGGUCGUGGGGAUAACGUAGCGAAAGCUACGCUAAUACCGCAUACGAUCUACGGAUGAAAGCGGGGGAUCGCAAGACCUCGCGCGAUUGGAGCGGCCGAUAUCAGAUUAGGUAGUUGGUGAGGUAAAGGCUCACCAAGCCGACGAUCUGUAGCUGGUCUGAGAGGACGACCAGCCACACUGGGACUGAGACACGGCCCAGACUCCUACGGGAGGCAGCAGUGGGGAAUUUUGGACAAUGGGCGCAAGCCUGAUCCAGCAAUGCCGCGUGCAGGAUGAAGGCCUGG
rnacentral:rRNA from 1 species